rnacentral:rRNA from 1 species
UACAGAGGGUGCAAGCGUUAAUCGGAUUUACUGGGCGUAAAGCGUGUGUAGGUGGCUGCUCAAGUCGGUUGUGAAAUCCCCGGGCUCAACCUGGGAAUUGCUUCUGAGACUGAGCGACUAGAGUACGGUAGAGGGCGGUGGAAUUUCCGGUGUAGCGGUGAAAUGCGUAGAUAUCGGAAGGAACACCAAUGGCGAAGGCAGCCGCCUGGGCCUGUACUGACACUGAGACACGAAAGCGUGGGGAUCAAACAGG